rnacentral:rRNA from 1 species
ACUCCUACGGGAGGCAGCAGUGAGGAAUAUUGGUCAAUGGAGGCAACUCUGAACCAGCCAUGCCGCGUGCAGGAAGACUGCCCUAUGGGUUGUAAACUGCUUUUAUACAGGAAGAAACAGUCGUACGAGUACGACCUUGACGGUACUGUAGGAAUAAGCACCGGCUAACUCCGUGCCAGCAGCCGCGGUAAUACGGAGGGUGCAAGCGUUAUCCGGAAUCAUUGGGUUUAAAGGGUCCGCAGGCGGUCAAUUAAGUCAGAGGUGAAAUCCCAUAGCUUAACUAUGGAACUGCCUUUGAUACUGGUUGACUUGAGUUAUACGGAAGUAGAUAGAAUAAGUAGUGUAGCGGUGAAAUGCAUAGAUAUUACUUAGAAUACCGAUUGCGAAGGCAGUCUACUACGUGUAUACUGACGCUCAUGGACGAAAGCGUGGGAGCGAACAGGAUUAGAUA